CAUGCCGUAAACGAUGAGUGCUAGGUGUUGGGGGUCAAACCUCGGUGCCGCAGCUAACGCAUUAAGCACUCCGCCUGGGGAGUACGUACGCAAGUAUGAAACUCAAAGGAAUUGACGGGGACCCGCACAAGCAGCGGAGCAUGUGGUUUAAUUCGAAGCAACGCGAAGAACCUUACCAGGGCUUGACAUGCCUCUGACCACUCUAGAGAUAGAGUUUUCCCUUCGGGGACAGGGGACACAGGUGG
rnacentral:rRNA from 1 species